rnacentral:rRNA from 1 species
CACGUAGGGUGCAAGCGUUGUCCGGAAUUAUUGGGCGUAAAGAGCUCGUAGGUGGUUUGUUACGUCCGCUGUGAAAUCCUAGGGCUUAACCCUGGGCUUGCAGUGGAUACGGGCAGACUAGAGGUAGGUAGGGGAGAAUGGAAUUCCUGGUGUAGCGGUGAAAUGCGCAGAUAUCAGGAGGAACACCGGUGGCGAAGGCGGCAUCCUGGACCGGUAUUGACGCUGAGGCGCGAAAGCCAGGGGAGCAAACGGG